rnacentral:tRNA from 1 species
GGCCUCGUAGAUCAGCUGGUAGAGCAUGCGCGUACAAAGCGUAGGCGGUGUCCAUGCGUAGGUUCGAAUCCCACGGAGGCUA